rnacentral:rRNA from 1 species
AGUGAACGCUGGCGGCAGGCCUAACACAUGCAAGUCGAGCGGCAGCGCGGGGGCAACCCUGGCGGCGAGCGGCGGACGGGUGAGGAAUGCGUCGGAAUCUGCCUCUUUGUGGGGGAUAACGUAGGGAAACUUACGCUAAUACCGCAUACGACCUACGGGUGAAAGUGGGGGACCGCAAGGCCUCACGCAGAGAGAUGAGCCGACGCCGGAUUAGCUAGUUGGCAGGGGAAAGGCCCACCAAGGCGACGAUCCGUAGCUGGUCUGAGAGGAUGAUCAGCCACACUGGAGCUGAGACACGGUCCAGACUCCUACGGGAGGCAGCAGUGGGGAAUAUUGGACAAUGGGCGCAAGCCUGAUCCAGCCAUGCCGCGUGUGUGAAGAAGGCCUUCGGGUUGUAAAGCACUUUUGUCCGGAAAGAAAAGCAUUCGGUUAAUAACCGGGUGUCAUGACGGUACCGGAAGAAUAAGGACCGGCUAACUACGUGCCAGCCGCCGCCGUAACAC